UUUGAAAAAGCUGAAUUAUUUAUUUUAUUUUGUCUAGAAAUUUUAAAAUGUUAUAAUGAUUAGAUGAGAUGAGUUGAGAGGAAUUGUGAAAACAAACAAGGCCAUAAUCUCUUCCAACCUACCAAUCUACGUUCAAUUUUCUCCACCACUGUAUCCCAAAUUGAUAUAGAUCUUGCAACUGCCCCCAAAGGAAGACCAAGGUAUGUCAUGGGAAGUGAGGAAACCUUACAUCCAAGGAUACUAGCCAGUUGCCUGAUAUUAUGAGCAUUGCCCACCGGCACCAAUUCUAAUUUAUCAAAGUUCACUUUCAAGCCAAAUACCGCUUCAAAACAAAGUAAUAAUGCCCUCAAUGUUCGAACUUGGCUUUGUUCUGCCUCACAAAAAAUAAGUGUAUCAUCUGCAAAUAAUAAAUGAGAUAGGUUAAUAGUGCCCUUAUUAGGAUCACCCACCAAGAAUCCCUCAAUAAAGCCAUUGUUCACCAAGGC